CGUGAUUUGGCGGGAGUCUUGACCGCCGCCGGGCUCUUGGUACCUCAGCGCGAGCGCCAGGCGUCCGGCCGCCGUGGCUAUGUUCGUGUCCGAUUUCCGCAAAGAGUUCUACGAGGUGGUCCAGAGCCAGAGGGUCCUUCUCUUCGUGGCCUCGGACGUGGAUGCUCUGUGUGCGUGCAAGAUCCUUCAGGCCUUGUUCCAGUGUGACCACGUGCAAUAUACGCUGGUUCCAGUUUCUGGGUGGCAAGAACUUGAAACUGCAUUUCUUGAGCAUAAAGAACAGUUUCAUUAUUUUAUUCUCAUAAACUGUGGAGCUAAUGUAGACCUAUUGGAUAUUCUUCAACCUGAUGAAGACACUAUAUUCUUUGUGUGUGACACCCAUAGGCCAGUCAAUGUCAUCAAUGUAUACAACGAUACCCAGAUCAAAUUACUCAUUAAACAAGAUGAUGACCUUGAAGUUCCCGCCUAUGAAGACAUCUUCAGGGAUGAAGAGGAGGAUGAAGAGCAUUCAGGAAAUGACAGCGAUGGGUCAGAGCCUUCUGAGAAGCGCACACGGUUAGAAGAGGAGAUAGUGGAGCAAACCAUGCGGAGAAGGCAGCGGCGAGAGUGGGAGGCCCGGAGAAGAGACAUCCUCUUUGACUACGAGCAGUAUGAAUAUCAUGGGACAUCGUCAGCCAUGGUGAUGUUUGAGCUGGCUUGGAUGCUGUCCAAGGACCUGAAUGACAUGCUGUGGUGGGCCAUCGUUGGACUAACGGACCAGUGGGUGCAAGACAAGAUCACUCAAAUGAAAUACGUGACUGAUGUUGGUGUCCUGCAGCGCCACGUUUCCCGCCACAACCACAGGAACGAGGAUGAGGAGAACACACUCUCCGUGGACUGCACACGGAUCUCCUUUGAGUAUGACCUCCGCCUGGUGCUCUACCAGCACUGGUCCCUCCAUGACAGCCUGUGCAACACCAGCUAUACCGCAGCCAGGUUCAAGCUGUGGUCUGUGCAUGGACAGAAGCGGCUCCAGGAGUUCCUUGCAGACAUGGGUCUUCCCCUGAAGCAGGUGAAGCAGAAGUUCCAGGCCAUGGACAUCUCCUUGAAGGAGAAUUUGCGGGAAAUGAUUGAAGAGUCUGCAAAUAAAUUUGGGAUGAAGGACAUGCGCGUGCAGACUUUCAGCAUUCAUUUUGGGUUCAAGCACAAGUUCCUGGCCAGCGACGUGGUCUUUGCCACCAUGUCUUUGAUGGAGAGCCCCGAGAAGGAUGGCUCAGGCACAGAUCACUUCAUCCAGGCUCUGGACAGCCUCUCCAGGAGUAACCUGGACAAGCUGUACCAUGGCCUGGAACUCGCCAAGAAGCAGCUGCGAGCCACCCAGCAGACCAUUGCCAGCUGCCUUUGCACCAACCUCGUCAUCUCCCAGGGGCCUUUCCUGUACUGCUCUCUCAUGGAGGUCAGGCUUCCCACAGAGCACAGGCUCCUGGUCACAGCACCAGUGGCUUCGUCUGACCAUCUGUCUCGCCUCCGCAGGGCACUCCAGAUGUCAUGCUGUUCUCUAGGCCGGCAUCCCUAAGCCUGCUCAGCAAACACCUGCUCAAGUCCUUUGUGUGUUCGGUCACGGAAAGCGGGAUGGUUGUAGCACCGACUGGCUUCCCAGCAACAGCUUGUCCACUAGGCUGAUUUCCUGUGCCUGGCUUUGUCUUCUGUGUGGCCUAACCCCCUCUUUGCGUUGGCGUGGAACACACUCCUAACUUGGCUGGCUUUAGGGCAGGGGUCCUCACCUAGCCGACAUGGGGCUCCUCCCAGAUGUGACAUGUCAAUAAUUGAAGUCCUCCUCUGCUUCGAGGAUGAGAGUUUAUGCUGGGGGCUAUUUCAAACGAAAUGUGCUAACAGGAAGUUGAACUUUUCUUUUGCCGCUGAACUAACCAGUAAAAUGAUGACAGAUGACAUGUGUUCUAUCAACCAGACAAAGAACCGGCGCUGCAAACUGCUUCCCCUGGUGAUGGCUGCCCCCCUGAGCGUCGAGCAUGGCACAGUGACCGUGGUGGGCAUCCCCCCAGAGACCGACAGCUCGGACAGGAAGAACUUUUUUGGGAGGGCGUUUGAGAAGGCAGCGGAAAGCACCAGCUCCCGGAUGCUGCACAACCAUUUUGACCUCUCAGUAAUUGAGCUGAAAGCUGAGGAUCGGAGCAAGUUUCUGGACGCACUAAUUUCCCUCCUGUCCUAGGAAUUUGAUUCUUCCGGAAUGACCUUCUUAUUUAUGUAACUGGCUUUCAUUUAGAUUGUAAGUUAUGGACAUGAUUUGAGAUGUAGAAGCCAUUUUUUAUUAAAUAAAAUGCUUAUUUUAGGCUCUGUC